GCUGACACAAGGCUUCCAGCCAGAAGUUUAAUCAAAAAUGACAUCAAACGCCGAAACAAACCUCUGUUUUGUCUCCUGGAACACAAAUGGUAUUAAAGAAAAGAUUGUAGAAAUAUUGGACGUUCUCUGUAACCUUCAAGCUGAUAUUGUUUUUCUACAAGAAACACAUGUUGGGCCAACAACAAAAUGUCUCCAAGCCAUUAAUAAGGCUAAAAACUGGAAAGUCUACUUUACUGAAUACAGUUCUCAAAGCAAAGGAGUUGCAAUACUUAUAAGAGACUCUGUACAGUUUGAAUACAUAUGCCAUGAUGUGGAUAGCAGUGGAGGCUACAUUGUGCUCUUCUGUCAUCUGUAUGGUGAACUGUACACUCUUGUUAACGUAUACAAGCAUAAGAAAGACAAAGUUGUCUUGAAUAGUCUGAAGGACUAUUUGAUGGAGAGAGCUGAGGGGGUGCUAGUGGUUGGAGGUGAUUUCAAUUCACUUUUAGAUCCCAGAGUAGAUCGCAAUCCUCCAAAGUCAAGAGAAUCACCAUCAAAAGUUUUAGAAGACUUUAUUGCAUCACUGAACCUCAGAGACACCUGGUCAAACAAACAUACUGAUAAUGAUGCAGAGAGAUUUACAUUCAAAUAUCCUUGUGGUUAUUCCAGAAUAGACAUGUUUUUCCUGCAAAAUGCCACAAUAAAUCAAGUACUUAGCAUUACAGUUGAAAAAGGUUUGGAGGGGCAAAAAAUGGAUCAUUUCCCUCUUGUCCUAAAACUCCCCACAAGGUUAAGGACAUAUGAAUACAAUCCUGACAGGUGCCAAGGGAAGAUUAGUCUUAAAGAAAUACUGAGUGCUAUAAAGUAUUUAACUGACAAAGAAGAACACAGACCAAAUAUGAAUGAUGAGAAGGACUACAAAACAAAAUGCCGUACACUGAAGAUUAAGUACAAUAAAAUAUUAAAUACACUGAAGGUACCUAAAAAUUAUAAACCUUCAGGAGACAACAACAUGGAAUAUUUGAUAUUUUCAGAAAUUUUGGCCAAGCGCCUCUUGCCAUUCAGUUCAUGUGAAACUGAUAACUGUGCCACUGUGAACAUUGAGAGCCCACAGGAAAUCAGGUGGUCUUACCUGAAGACAAUAUUUGAUAAGAUAGAUUAUUGUUAUUAUAAAGAGAAAGACCCAAAACAGGCCCCGUUUGCCCCCCCACCAGACCUCCGCAUUCUGGAUCGUCUUCUUCCUAAAGUCCAAAACUCUACUGAGGAUCUCAGAGUUUUACAGCCUGACUGUCCACUAGCCAAUGCUAUUCUCAAUCUGGCAAAUAAACAGCUGGUUGAUAUGCUUCAGUUGUUCCAGAAUGAUUCAGGACUGAAGUUAAAUACUGUACUUCAUGGACUCAAACAAACACACACACACAAAUAAGUCACUUUGAGCCUAAAUAAUUGAAGAACUUUUAAAGGGCCUUUAACAGCAAUUAGAACAUUAAGCACAGGACAGGUUGAGAAGUUUUAUUCCCCCUCUACAGCAGCUACAUCACAAAUUGUGCUACAACCUCUCUAUAAACAUCAGAGGUACACAUCUAUUUUUAUGUCCAGAUGAAAAAAACAAAACAAAACAAUACUUAUGCUGGCUUUAUCUCUUAUGCAUUACUUUAUUAUAUUUAAUUAUGAUUGCUAUUAUGAUUUUGUUGAUAGUAGCACAGUGGGUAAUCACUGUCCAUCACUAGUCCGAAUUAAAAUAGAUUCAGAAAAUAUCAGGGAUUUCAGGCACUAUCUACAGUUACUUUGAUUUGCUUAGAUUGGUUUAGCUUUGCUUCACGAGCUGGGAAUAUUGUAUUCAUUUCUAAGUUGUUAGGGUGUAUUUGUACACGUAAAAUGAAACUUUUAUUUAAAAUGUUUAAAAUUUGUAUAGGAUAUAAGUUUUGUAAUUAAUUUUGUUGUUGAGUUUUGUAAAUUAUUACAGCAAUGGUGCAGUGCUUUGUGCAAUCACAUUAUAUAUACAUUAACAGUGUCUUUCUUUUUUUUGCCUUCUUUUUUUUUUGCCUUUGUCAAGAAUAAUGCUACAUUCAUGUUUACUGUGUUUAUGAGAUACUUAUAUUUGAAAAAAAAGGCAUCCUUAAUAUGUAAUAUUUCUUUCUUGGAGAUGUUUGGCUAUCCUAAUAGACAUUAUGGAAGUUUGUACAGAUGUGCAUCAUGUUUGCUUGGUUGUGUAUUAAUCUGUUACUUCCAUCCCAGCUUUAAUUGAAGACUUUCUGCUGCAAGGCAUUCACCACUAAGUAUUAUUUAGAAGCUUUUACGGCAUCUCUGAAUCUUAGAGACACCAUGCCUUCACUUUACUGAUGAGGGCUUUACACAGUUUCACAACAAGUCAUUCCUGGAUAAACUUUAGACACAAUGGGAAAAUACAAACUACAGAGCUAUAGAGUUAAACUACAGAAAGUUUUUGAUAAAUGUUCUCUUGUACUAAAAGAGCAAAUACAUUUAAAACAGAACAAAACAAAAAACUCUGGAGAGAGAUACAGACACAGAGUGAAAUAAAAAUGUCCACUGAUGAUGUCAUUAAAUCUACUGUAGUAACGGUUUCGAACUAGGAAGUGAAACGUUUAUGUGGUGAACACAGACGAGAGGAGUGAUACACACAGUGAAACAUUCCAGUGUGGUUAUAGGAAAUAUAUUCGCUCUUGGAAUGCCGCACGACCAAUCAGAUUAGUGGAACUAACUGUUGUAUAAAGGUUCAUAAUCUAUCAGCAUACAUGCUUCUCUACUUCCUGUGUCUGUUAGCACAACAUUAAUGGAAU
ensembl:lncRNA